rnacentral:rRNA from 1 species
ACCUAUGGGGCGCAGCAGGCGAGAACCUUUGCAAUGUGCGAAAGCACGACAAGGUUAAUCCGAGUGUCUCCUGCUAAAGGAGUCUUUUGUCAGUUGUAGAAUCACUGGUGAAUAAGGGGUGGGCAAGUUCUGGUGUCAGCCGCCGCGGUAAAACCAGCACCUCGAGUGGUCAGGAGGUUUAUUGGGCCUAAAGCAUCCGUAGCCGGUUGCAUAAGUUUUCGGUUAAAUCUAUGCGCUUAACGUAUAGGCCGCCGAAAAUACCGUGCAGCUAGGGAGUGGGAGAGGUACACGGUACUCGAUAGGAAGGGGUAAAAUCCUUUGAUCUAUUGAAGACCACCUGUGGCGAAGGCGGUGUACCAGAACACGUUCGACGGUGAGGGAUGAAAGCUGGGGGAGCAAACCGGAUUAGAUACCCGGGUAGUCCCAGCUGUAAACGAUGCAGACUCGGUGAUGCAUUGGCUUGUGGCCAAUGCAGUGCCGCAGGGAAGCCGUCAAGUCUGCCGCCUGGGAAGUACGUACGCAAGUAUGAAACUUAAAGGAUUGGCGGGGGAGCACCACAAGGGGUGAAGCUGCGGUUCAAUUGGAUUCAACGUCA